rnacentral:hammerhead_ribozyme from 1 species
AUCCAGCUGGCGAGUCCCAAAAAGGACGAAACACGCGUCCUGUAC